UUCUGGAGAUGGAGAAGCUAAGGCCCAAAGAGGUUUUUAAGUUGCUCGUCAACAGAGCAGCAAACAGCAGAGGUGAGAUUUGUGAAAUGUCUGGUACUUCAAAUUCAUUUUUCUGCAUUCAGUUUGGGAAAAGGAGUCAAAUUUGGAAAGUCCCACUGAAGAGACCCGAAACUGGAAGUAAUAAAAUCCCAGGCCAUGACAUCAGGAUGCAGCAGCGAUAUUUACAGAGAGGAUGUUUCUUCCAGUAACUGAGGCCUCCCGGUCAUCAACAAUAGAGGCCACAGGAGCUCCUCCUGCAUCCUCAGGAGGAGAUUCCAGAGUCAAAAAAAUUGUCACCUCAAUGGGACCUUCAUUUUUCAAAGGAAGAACCUGAAGGCGAGGAAGGUCUG